AUUGAACGCUGGCGGCAGGCCUAACACAUGCAAGUCGAGCGGAGCGGCGGACGGGUGAGUAAGGCCUAGGAAUCUGCCUGGUAGUGGGGGAUAACGUCCGGAAACGGGCGCUGAUACCGCAUACUAUGAGAUUAGCCUAGGUCGUAUUCGCUAGUUGGUGGGGAAAAGGCCUACCAAGGCGACGAUCCGUACCGGGUCUGAGAGGAUGAUCCGUCACACUGGAACUGAGACACGGUCCAGCCUCCUACGGGAGGCAGCAGUGGGGAAUAUUGGACAAUGGGCGAAAGCCUGAUCCAGCCAUGCCGCGUGUGUGAAGAAGGUCUUCGGAUUGUAAAGCACUUUAAGUUGGGAGGCGUUACCAACAGAAUAAGCACCGGCUAACUUCGUGCCAGCAGCCGCGGUAAUAC
rnacentral:rRNA from 1 species